UUUAAAGAAGGGGAACAACGACAAAGUCUCUCUCUAGUUGUGAUGAAGUUUCUCUGAUAGCGCUCAGGGAGUUGCUUUUUAACUCAGUAGAGAUCUAAAGAAGAUGUUCAAGUUUUUGUCUGUACAGCUGAAAUUGCACUUCUAUAGCAAUAAAAGUAAUUGUGUUAUGUGCAUGAUAUAUAUCAGCAAUUAAGCCAAACAAGUUUAAUAGGACCUUGACACUGCAGAGCAGCCAAAGAAUACACCCGCUGAAAAAUCCUGAUGAAAUUUGUGUUUCCUGUUCUACCUUGUUGAAGCUAAUUGGAGUCUAAUCUCAAAUGCCAUUUGAGACUUACUGUAGCGUUCCCUCUGGAUAACUGCAGUAUGCACUGAGUGGUGACUCGAUUCUGGUCUCCUCUCUUACUGGGUGGUUGCUCAUGUGAGACUCACUGUAGUAUUAACGUAUACCCAGACAAUCUCAUGAUAACUGCAGUAUUGAGAGAGGUGAUAUGUGACAUGUAUUGUAGCAUUGUUGUAUACCCAGACAAUCUCAUGAUAACUGCAGUAUUGAGAGAGGUGAUAUGUGACAUGUAUUGUAGCAUUGUUGUAUACCCAGACAAUCUCAUGAUAACUGCAGUAUUGAGAGAGGUGAUAUGUGACAUGUAUUGUAGCAUUGUUGUAUACCCAGACAAUCUCAUGAUAACUGCAGUAUUGAGAGAGGUGAUAUGGGAGACUUAUUGUAUCAUUGUUGUAUACAGAGGCAAUCUCAGGUUAACUGCAGUAUUGAGAGAGGUGGCAUGUGAGACUUAUUGUAUCAUUGUUGUAUACAAAGGCAAUCUCAGGUUAACUGCAGUAUUGAGAGAGGUGGCAUGUGAGACUUAUUGUAGUAUUGUUGUAUACACAGUCUCAGGAUAACUGCAGUAUUGAGAGAGGUGACAUGUGAGACUUUUUGUGGCAACAGGAUAAAUCCUGUAUGCUGCAGGUAAAUUACAGGAAUAACAGGCACAAAUAAUAAUCACUGUACAUAAUAAUGUAUCAACAAUGCUUAAAGGGACAUUCUACACUAGAUUUUUCUUGCAGAAAUGUUUUUUUAGAUGAUCCAUUUACAGGUGAAACUCGAAAAAUUAGAAUAUCGUGCAAAAGUUCAUUUAUUUCACUAAUGCAACCUAAAAGGUGAAACUAAUAUAUGAGAGAGACUCAUUACAUGCAAAGCAAUAUAGUUCAAGCCGUGAUUUGUCAUAAUUGUGAUGAUUAUGGCUUACAUUUGAUAGUAGAAAUAAACUGGAAAAAUUGUUUAAAUUGUAUGGUAAUGGGUAAUAAAGGGAUUAUCUAUCUUUUUAAACAAUAAGCAUUUUCGAGUUGACUGUCCCUUUAGCAUUUUUGCUUAAUUUAAAUAUAUUGCCUUUUAUGUUAUUCCAAAUUAAAUAAAAAAAAAAAAAUUCCUUACA